rnacentral:rRNA from 1 species
UGCGUAGGUGGUGGGGUAAGUCUCGUGUGAAAGCUCGCGGCUCAACCGCGAAAAGUCACGGGAUACUAUUCUGCUGGAGGGUUGGGAGGGGGGACGUGGAACUCUCGGUGUAGCAGUGAAAUGCGUAGAUAUCGAGAGGAACACCAGUGGCGAAGGCGAGUCCCUGGACAACACCUGACACUGAGGCACGAAAGCUAGGGGAGCAAACA